rnacentral:rRNA from 1 species
GUGUCAGCCGCCGCGGUAAGACGAACCGUGCGAACGUUGUUCGGAAUCACUGGGCUUAAAGGGCGCGUAGGCGGGCGAUCAAGUCCGGGGUGAAAGCUUUCGGCUCAACCGGAAAAGGGCCUUGGAUACUGAUCGUCUGGAGGGAGGUAGGGGCCCGUGGAACUUCCGGUGGAGCGGUGAAAUGCGUUGAUAUCGGAAGGAACGCCGGUGGCGAAAGCGACGGGCUGGAUCUCUACUGACGCUGAGGCGCGAAAGCCAGGGGAGCAAACGGGAUUAGAAACCCCCGUAGUCC